rnacentral:rRNA from 1 species
CAAUAGCGUAUAUUAAAGUUGUUGCAGUUAAAAAGCUCGUAGUCGGAUUUCUGGUCGGAAGCUCCUGUCCUCUGAUGAGCGUACAAGUGCGUCCUACCAUCCUUCUGUUAACCUUUAAGGCUUUCGCGGCUUUCUAGGGGCUCAGAUAUUUUACCUUGAGAAAAUUAGAGUGUUUCAGGCAGGCUAGCGCCGGAAUACAUUAGCAUGGAAUAAUGGAAUAGGACUUUUGCCUCUUCUGUUGGUCAUGAGGCUCGAGUAAUGAUUAAUAGGGAUAGUUGGGGGCAUUAGUACUUAACUGUCAGAGGUGAAAUUCUCGGAUUUGUUAAAGACUAACUUAUGCGAAAGCAUUUGCCAAGGAUGUUUUCAUUA